rnacentral:rRNA from 1 species
GACGAACGCUGGCGGCGUGCCUAAUACAUGCAAGUUGAGCGAUGAAGAUUGGUGCUUGCACCAAUUUGAAGAGCAGCGAACGGGUGAGUAACGCGUGGGGAAUCUGCCUUUGAGCGGGGGACAACAUUUGGAAACGAAUGCUAAUACCGCAUAACAACUUUAAACAUAAGUUUUAAGUUUGAAAGAUGCAAUUGCAUCACUCAAAGAUGAUCCCGCGUUGUAUUAGCUAGUUGGUGAGGUAAAGGCUCACCAAGGCGAUGAUACAUAGCCGACCUGAGAGGGUGAUCGGCCAAAUUGGGAAUGAGACAAGGCAAAAAAUCAUACGGGAGGCAGCAGUAGGGAAUCUUCGGCAAUGGACGAAAGUCUGACCGAGCAAAGCCGCGUGAGUGAAGAAGGUUUUCGGAUCGUAAAACUCUGUUGGUAGAGAAGAACGUUGGUGAGAGUGGAAAGCUCAUCAAGUGACGGUAACUACCCAGAAAGGGACGGCUAACUACGUG